rnacentral:rRNA from 1 species
AACGAACGCUGGCGGCAUGCCUAACACAUGCAAGUCGAACGAGACCUUCGGGUUUAGUGUCGCGCGGGUUCGUAACGCGUGGGAACCUGCAUUUAGGUGCGGAAUAACUUCCCGAAAGGGGUGGUAAUACCGGGUAAUGUCUUGCGUCCAAAGGUUUAUCGCCAUUGGAUGGGCCCACGUUGUAUUAGCUUGUUGGUAGGGUAAAACCCUACCAAGGCGUGGAUCGAUAGAUGGUUUGUGAGGAUGGUCAGCCACACUGGGACUGAGAAACGGCCCAGAAUCCUGCGGGAGGGAGGAGAGGGGAAUAUUGGAAAAUGGGCGACAGCAUGAUGGAGCAAUGCCGGGUGAGUGAUGAAGGCCGUAGGGUAGUAAAGCUCUUUUACCCGGGAUGAUAAUGACAGUACCGGGAGAAUAAGCACCGGCUAACUACGUG